rnacentral:rRNA from 1 species
UGGGGAAUCUUGGACAAUGGGGGGCAACCCUGAUCCAGCCAUGCCGCGUGUGUGAAGAAGGCCCUAGGGUUGUAAAGCACUUUCAGCAGGGAGGAAGGCUUGAGUUUAAUACGCUCAAGUACUUGACGUUACC